rnacentral:rRNA from 1 species
UACGGAGGGUGCAAGCGUUAUCCGGAAUCACUGGGUUUAAAGAGUGCGUAGGCGGUCUUAUAAGUCAAUGGUGAAAGACGGCAGCUUAACUGUCGCAGUGCCAUUGAUACUGUAGGACUUGAAUAAGGAUGAGGUUGGCGGAAUGUGACAUGUAGCGGUGAAAUGCAUAGAUAUGUCAUAGAACACCAAUUGCGAAGGCAGCUGACUAG